rnacentral:tRNA from 1 species
UCCUCGGUAGUAUAGUGGUGAGUAUCCCCGCCUGUCACGCGGGAGACCGAAGUUCGAUUCCCCGCUGGGGAG